rnacentral:rRNA from 1 species
AGAGUUUGAUUAUGGCUCAGGAUGAACGCUGGCGGCGUGCUUAACACAUGCAAGUCGAACGGAGUUUUUAACGGAAGUUUCGGAUGGAAGUUUAAGAACUUAGUGGCGGACGGGUGAGUAACGCGUGGGUAACCUGCCUCAUACAGGGGGAUAACAGUUAGAAAUGACUGCUAACACCGCAUAAUAUAGUGAAACCGCAUGAUUUUGCUAUCAAAUAUUUAUAGGUAUGAGAUGGGCCCGCGUCUGAUUAGCUAGUUGGUGGGGUAAAAGCCUACCAAGGCGACGAUCAGUAGCCGGCUUGAGAGAGUGACCGGCCACAUUGGGACUGAGACACGGCCCAAACUCCUACGGGAGGCAGCAGUGGGGAAUAUUGGACAAUGGGGGAAACCCUGAUCCAGCGAACCGCCGCGUGAGUGAAGAAGUAUUUCGGUAUGUAAAGCUCUAUCAGCAGGGAAGAUAAUGACAGUACCUGACUAAGAAGCCCCGGCUAACUACGUGCCAGCCGCUGC